rnacentral:rRNA from 1 species
UGGGGAAUCUUGCACAAUGGGGGCAACCCUGAUGCAGCGACGCCGCGUGAGCGAUGAAGCCCCUCGGGGUGUAAAGCUCUUUCGGCAGGAACGAUAAUGACGGUACCUGAAGAAGAAGCUGCGGCUAACUACGUGCCAGCAGCCGCGGUAAUACGUAGGCAGCAAGCGUUGUUCGGAAUUACUGGGCGUAAAGAGUGUGUAGGCGGUGCUCUAAGUUCGGUGUGAAAUCUCCCGGCUUAACUGGGAGGGUGCGCCGGAAACUGGAAUGCUCGAGCGUGGGAGAGGAAAGCGGAAUUCCUGGUGUAGCGGUGAAAUGCGUAGAUAUCAGGAGGAACACCUGCGGUGUAGACGGCUUUCUGGACCAUUGCUGACGCUGAGACACGAAAGCGUGGGUAGCAAACAGGAUUAGAUACCCCGGUAGUCC